rnacentral:rRNA from 1 species
GAAGCUGCGAAUGGCUCAUUAAAUCAGCUAUGGUUCCUUAGAUCUUACAUCCUUACAUGGAUAACUGUAGUAAUUCUAGAGCUAAUACAUGCCAAAUAACCCUGACCUUGCGAGAAGGGUGGAUUUAUUAGAACAAAACCAACCAGUGCUUGCACUGUUGGCUAGUUGACUCUGGAUAACUUUUCUGAUCGCAUGGCCUUGCGCCAGCGACGUAUCUUUCAAAUGUCUGCCCUAUCAACUAUCGAUGGUAGGUGAUAUGCCUACCAUGGUUAUGACGGGUAACGGGGAAUCAGGGUUCGAUUCCGGAGAGGGAGCCUUAGAAACAGCUACCACAUCUAAGGAAGGCAGCAGGCGCGCAAAUUACCCACUCUUAGAUUGAGGAGGUAGUGACCGAAAAAUAACGAUGCAGGACUCAUAUGAGGCUCUGCAAUUGGGAAUGAGUACAAUUUAAAUCCUUUAACGAGGAUCAAUUGGAGGGCAAGUCUGAUGCCAGCAGCCGCGGUAAUUCCAGCUCCAAUAGCGUAUAUUAAAGUUGCUGCAGUUAAAAAGCUCGUAGUUGGAUCUCAGGUACGGAGCUAGUGGUCGGUCAUUUGACUGUACCAUUGGCUUYCGCCUAAACAGCUGUUUGCAACCAGUAGUGCAGUUCAUUCUGUGCUGUUGGUGCUCAGCACGUUUACUUUGAAAAAAUUAGAGUGCUCAAAGCAAGCCUAGUGCUUGAAUACUGUUGCAUGGAAUAAUGGAAUAGGACUUCGGUUCUAUUUUGUUGGUUUUCGGAAUCGAAGUAAUGAUUAAAAGAGACAGACGGGGGCAUCUGUAUGGUGGUGUGAGAGGUGAAAUUCUAUGAUCAUCGCCAGACAAACAACUGCGAAAGCAUUUGCCAAGGAUGUUUUCAUUAAUCAAGAACGAAAGUCAGAGGUUCGAAGACGAUCAGAUACCGUCCUAGUUCUGACCAUAAACGAUGCCCAACUGACAAUCAGGGUGAAUUUAUUUUUUUACCACCCUGGGCAAGUCCCUGGGGAAACCUUUAAGUUUAUCGGUUCUGGGGGGAGUAUGGUUGCAAAUCCGAAACUUAAAGGAAUUGACGGAAGGGCACCACCAGGUGUGGAGCCUGCGGCUUUAAUUUUGACUCAACACGGGAAAACUCACCCGGGCCGGACACUGUGAGGAUUGACAGAUUGAUAGCUCUUUCAUGAUUCAGUGGUUGGUGGUGCAUGGCCGUUCCUUAGUUGGUGGAGUGAUUUGUCUGGUUAAUUCCGAUAACGAACGAGACUCUAGCUUGCUAAAUAGUGUGCGUAUUUUAUAGUGCGUUACACUUCUUAGAAGGAUUCGCCAUGUUUAAUGGCACGAAAUUGAGCAAUAACAGGUCUGUGAUGCCCUUAGAUGUUCGGGGCCGCACGUGCGCUACACUGACUAUAUCAAUGAGUAUACACCUAAGCCGAGAGGUUUGGGAAAUCUUAUGAAUUAUAGUCAUGUCAGGGAUUGGGGCUUGCAAUUAUUCCCCAUGAACGAGGAAUACCCAGUAAGCGCAAGUCAUUAGCUUGCAAAAGAUUACGUCCCUGCCCUUUGUACACACCGCC